rnacentral:rRNA from 1 species
UACGGGGGGGGCAAGCGUUGUUCGGAAUUACUGGGCGUAAAGGGCGCGUAGGCGGGUGGACAAGUCCCUCGUGAAAGCCCACGGCUCAACCGUGGAAUUGCGGGAGAUACUGUCUGUCUUGAGUCCGGGAGAGGAGGGUGGAAGUCCCAGUGUAGCGGUGAAAUGCGUAGAUAUUGGGAGGAACACCGGUGGCGAAGGCGGCUCUCUGGCUCGGUACUGACGCUGAGGCGCGAAAGCUAGGGGAGCAAACGGG